rnacentral:rRNA from 1 species
AGAACGAACGCUGGCGGCAGGCUUAACACAUGCAAGUCGAACGCUCAUAGCAAUAUGGGAGUGGCGCACGGGUGAGUAACACGUGGGAACAUGCCUUUCAGUAUGGGAUAACAGCGGGAAACUGCUGCUAAUACCGUAUAUUCCCUCCGGGGGAAAGAUUUAUCGCUGAAAGAUUGGCCCGCGUUAGAUUAGGUAGUUGGUGGGGUAAUGGCCUACCAAGCCUACGAUCUAUAGCUGGUCUGAGAGGACGACCAGCCACACUGGAACUGAGACACGGUCCAGACUCCUACGGGAGGCAGCAGUGGGGAAUAUUGGACAAUGGGCGAAAGCCUGAUCCAGCCAUGCCGCGUGAGUGAUGAAGGCCUUAGGUUGUAAAGCUCUUUUGUCUAGGGAAGAUAAUGACGGUACCUGAAGAAUAAGCACCGGCUAACUUCGUGCCAGCAGCCGC